rnacentral:rRNA from 1 species
AACGCUAGCUACAGGCUUAACACAUGCAAGUCGAGGGGAAACGACAUCGAAAGCUUGCUUUUGAUGGGCGUCGACCGGCGCACGGGUGAGUAACGCGUAUCCAACCUGCCCACCACUUGGGGAUAACCUUGCGAAAGUAAGACUAAUACCCAAUGACGUCUCUAGAAGACAUCUGAAAGAGAUUAAAGAUUUAUCGGUGAUGGAUGGGGAUGCGUCUGAUUAGCUUGUUGGCGGGGUAACGGCCCACCAAGGCGACGAUCAGUAGGGGUUCUGAGAGGAAGGUCCCCCACAUUGGAACUGAGACACGGUCCAAACUCCUACGGGAGGCAGCAGUGAGGAAUAUUGGUCAAUGGGCGAGAGCCUGAACCAGCCAAGUAGCGUGCAGGAAGACGGCCCUAUGGGUUGUAAACUGCUUUUAUAUGGGGAUAAAGUGAGUUACGUGUAGCUUAUUGCAGGUACCAUAUGAAUAAGGACCGGCUAAUUCCGUGCCAGCAGCCGCGGUAACACGGAAGGUCCAGGCGUUAUCCGGAUUUAUUGGGUUUAAAGGGAGCGUAGGCCGCCCCUUAAGCGUGUUGUGAAAUGCCGCGGCUCAACCGUGGCACUGCAGCGCGAACUGGGGGGCUUGAGUGCACGCAACGCAGGCGGAAUUCGUGGUGUAGCGGUGAAAUGCUUAGAUAUCACGAAGAACUCCGAUUG